ACCUGCCCAAUGAUUUUUUUAAUGGCCGCAGUAUUUUAACUGUGCAAAGGUAGCAUAAUCAUUAGUCUUUUAAUUGAAGGCUGGAAUGAAUGGUUGGACGAAAUAUUAACUGUUUCAUUUAAAAUUAUAAUAAAAUUUUAUUUUUUAAUUAAAAAGUUAAAAUUUAAUUAAAAGACGAGAAGACCCUAUAAAUCUUUAUAUAUUUAUUAAUUUUAAUCUUAAAGAUUUUUUUAAUUAUAAUUAAUAAAUAUAUUUUAUUGGGGUGAUAUUAAAAUUUAAUUAACUUUUAAAUAUUUAAAUCAUUAAUUUAUGAAUAAUUGAUCCAAUUAUAUUGAUUAAAAAUUUAAGUUACUUUAGGGAUAACAGCGUAAUUUUUUUGGAGAGUUCAUAUUGAUAAAAAAGAUUGCGACCUCGAUGUUGGAUUAAGAUAUAAUUUUAGGUGUAGCCGUUUAAAUUUAAAGUCUGUUCGACUUUUAAAAUCUUACAUGAUCUGAGUUUCCA
rnacentral:rRNA from 1 species